CCGAGUUCAUGCCCCUCGCGGGUAGAUCUCCCACCCUGUGCUAUUUUUGCCUCUGUUGCUUUGGCGGGCCGCCAGGCCCUUGAGCCCUAGGCUACCGGCCCCCCGGCUGGUACGCGCCCGCCGGAGACCCCUAAAACUCUGAAUGUUAGUGUCGUCCGAGCAUUAUCUGGAAUCGUUCA
rnacentral:misc_RNA from 1 species